rnacentral:rRNA from 1 species
GUGGGGAAUAUUGGACAAUGGGCGCAAGCCUGAUCCAGCCAUGCCGCGUGAGUGAUGAAGGCCUUAGGGUUGUAAAGCUCUUUCACCGAUGAAGAUAAUGACGGUAGUCGGAGAAGAAGCCCCGGCUAACUUCGUGCCAGCAGCCGCGGUAAUACGAAGGGGGCUAGCGUUGUUCGGAUUUACUGGGCGUAAAGCGCACGUAGGCGGUUUGUUAAGUCAGAGGUGAAAUCCCGGAGCUCAACUCCGGAACUGCCUUUGAUACUGGCAAGCUAGAGUCCGGAAGAGGUAAGUGGAACUCCUAGUGUAGAGGUGGAAUUCGUAGAUAUUAGGAAGAACACCAGUGGCGAAGGCGGCUUACUGGUCCGGAACUGACGCUGAGGCGCGAAAGUGUGGGGAGCAAACAGGAUUAGAAACCCUGGUAGUCC